UGUGCAGGCCACAUAUGGUGGAUCAGAUGGAGCCCUGUAAUACCCAUCCUCACAUUCACAUCUGGAGGAGCCUUCUUUAUCGGAAAAACUUGGUGAAUACAGACUCUAAAGUCACCUUUCCUGCCAGAGCUGUAGCACUUCAUCAACGUGAAGAGAGAAAACUACUCAGCACAGGGUAGUGAAAAUGGGCUUAGAACCCAGCCAUCAGUUUCUGACUCCAGUCCAGUUUCCAGUGGUGUGUUUCUUCUGGAUCCAGACCUCUGCCACAGUCCUGUGCUGUUUGGUGUAUACUAUAUACUCUUGUACCUGAAUACUGUGAUGUAUAAUUUUCUAAUCAUUUCACGAAUGUGUAUAUACAUUCAGUAACCAUUCCACAAAGAAAUGGAAAAAAAAAAACAUAAACUCUGAUUAUACUGAAUAUAACUGAAUGAAUAAAAUCCUAAAUAGACAUUUAUAUUAAUAUAAGUAAUACAGGAAGAAAAGAUCUAUUAGCAUUGUCCAGGCUAAAAUUCUUUUUCAUACGGAUUAGUUGGCAAUAUGAUCAGAAUAUAAAUAUUUAAUGAAUUAUGAAAAUCAAAUUUGCCUUCAUGCAAGUUCACUCUAAAUGCACAUUAAUUCCAGAGAAGCAAAAACGUUGAAUUGCCUCUUCUUCCAAAACAUAAUUUUUCUUUCCAUCUAAUUUCAUUUGACACAUAAUCCUAUAAGGUGCUUUACCUUUCAGCUCUAAAUUUGACUCCAAAAAAAAAAAAAAAAACCCUAUAAUUAGUUUGCCAUCAUGAAAUAUGAAUAGCUGAGUCACAGUUUAAUAACUUAACUUUAGGGUAUAAUAAUUACUUUUGUUAGUAUAUACAACUACCAGUUACACAUACAUAAAUUUUAUUUCGGAUAAUGUUAACAACUUUAUAUUUAAAAAAGCUAAAACACACUAGAGUACAAUUUAAAAACUGAUUACUUUGGAAAUGUAUAAAAUGUGUGGUAAGAGGAGACCAAAUGCUUUACAUGGAAGGUAACUAUAUAAUUCAUCAUCCCAGGCUGGACCCUUUCAAGAGUGAGAGGAGGGCCAUUAAUAACAACAGAAUGAGUGUCACCUUAAUCACUAGAACAAGAUCACAACAAAGGGAAAUGGCUUCUUCUAAGAGCUCCUGAAAUGCCGAUGAUGAGCCCCCUAAAUAAAAUUCACUUUGGUACACAAUUUAAAUAACUAAAUAACCUGGACAUACACAAAAAUUCUGAAAUUUGAAGAUUUUGGAAAUUUUGCCUACCAGCUCCUCUACCAAUGUUUUUAGAAGUGAGUUAAAAUCAAUACACUUCACAAUAACAGCUAGAUUAAAACUGAGUUUAACACUGUGGGAAGCUUUUGUUGUUGUUUGCUUUUAACCUUCCUCGACACUAAAGUACACUGUUUAGUCCUAGAACCUGCAUUCCUUGCCGCAGUUACAAACCAAAUGUCAACCUCCAAUAGCAUUUUAAAAUUCUGUAAUUAUUUCCAUGUAACUCUAUUAGAUCCAUAAGAACAAUAUCCAAUUAUCUUUGAAAAGUAAAGCAUAAACACCAAACAAAUCAAAUCCUAUUAUUGCUCUCAUAAUUCUUGCAUAUCAGUUCUAAACUGUCACAUGACAAAGUCAAUAUUUUUCUAAGGGGCCAGGAAAAAUACUUUUAACUCAAAACUAUUACAGUGUGAGCUAUGACAAUAACCACUGACAAUAUGUAACACAAAAGCAAUAUGCUGCCACAGAAAGCAUUCGUCCACAGAGCCCAGACAUUUUAAUCCAUUUUUGUAAUGUAAGAAUAGGAGGAACUGAAGAGUUGAAACAGAAACGGAACUUUUUAAGAUGCCUGGAGAAAGAAACAUCCAUUAGUAAGUGGCAUUCUCACUGGGAUUGCAUUUCUUGAAUAUUCUCCAUCAAGGAGAUGAGAAUAUCAGUUUUUACACGUGACUCCGGGAAAGUAAUAGUCUGAAAUGAGAGCUGCUAAAAACAGGCAGGUACUGUGAAAUUCAAGGAAAUGCUGCAUCAAGUAGCAAAAGGAAUGAAAAAAGGAUAAAAUUCUCUUUAUCCUUACAAAAUUGGCACAUUAUUCCAAGUGAGGUAACAGGCAGAACCUCACAGCAGAUUAAAAGGAAUUUGAGGACAAAUGUUUCAUUCAGUAGGCCUUUCUAUAUAGCAGAUAACUUUCCACCCAGUAAAGAAAAGCCUUGUCUUUUAUUAACUCCAUUUGAAGGUUUGUGUUACUAUAUAAAACCCCUCUUUUUCACAUAUUCAUGAGUGUAUUGGCAAGUACCUCUACAUCAUUCAUACUUAUAAAACUCAACAUGGCAGGUGGUCCUUAAUUUUUCACUGUAACUAUUAAAAGCUCUGUAGAAGGUGACUGCCUUGCUUCCAUUCGCUUUUCAUUUGCUUCACUUAACCAUUAAAAAAAGUGCCUCCUGCACAUUUUCAAAGAGCAUCUUCUUUAAAAAUAAUGACGUCUUUAGAAAAAAAUACAGAGCAGACUCUUCUGAAAAUUUUUACUGUUCUAGAAUCCGGUAUGUUCAUUUCAAAGGAUCGCAUUUGCUAUUUACAAAUUCAUCUACUUUCAGUGCUCCCUGCACAUAUGUCCUUGAAAACACAAUUACAAACAGAGAAAAUCCUAAGGUGAUAAAUUUUAAGUUAAAAGGAAAAUAAGCAAUAAAAGCAAGUCAUUAUUUUAAGUUAUUGGCUAGGUAAGUGAUACAUAUCUCAUUUUCAUAAAUUGAGAACUGAAGAGAAAUGGUGGGGAACACAAGUUAAGGUCUAAUGUGAUAUGCCUUUAAAAGAUCAUACUGUGUUUUACUACCUUCUCUGAAACAAAGUAAAGAUUUCUAUUUAACACAGAAAUCCUUUUUAUUUCAAAACAUGUCCUUAAAAAACAGAAGCUUUCUGUCUGAUUUAUUCUGUAGGGCAAAGAAGCUGCUUCUUUUGAUACUGUGAUUAUUAACACGUGUAGUUAGCAAUUCUAACAACUGGAUAAUUAAUAAACAUUAGCAAAUUAAUCACAAAUUAAGUUAAAUUAAUCACAAAUUAUUUCACAAAUUGAAAAGCUUAAAAGCUGUAUCAAAGGUUGUUGGAACCAAUGAGCUAAUAAGUUAGGAGAAAAGAUCAUUAUAGUCUGCAAUUCUAGGAGAGUCCUCUCUUCCCCCAGCCCCCUUUUUUUUAUACCCUGUGAUCCUCUCAUCCCAAUUCUUUAGCUUCAUCUUUUGCAGAGAUAAAUUGAUAGCAUCUCCAUCUGUCAACAAGCCCAGCCAUACUUAAGCCAUCAUCAUCAAUCAGAAUUUGUUUUCAUUUUCCAGUCACAAACUGAAAUUCCUCACUUUGAUCUCAUUCUUGAAUCUUGUUCCUUUUCCACUGUAAUCCUUUCUCUGCCCUUCUCCUUCAAGGACCCUAGACCAAUUAUGUUUGCAAACACUGCUCCAAAUAUUACUAAGAAUUACAUAAAAAGGAUUUAUCUUAAAGUCGACUAUGCACAUUCUAUCACUCAAAUAAGUUCAGCAAACUCUGGACAGAAAAAGUCUUUAAUACAGUCUUUCAAUGCUUUCUUCUCAUAUUAUGAACUCUCCAAAAGGGAACAGAUCCCAUUGUAUGUGGACCAUUCAAAGAAUUAAGCUCUUAACCACUCUGCUAACAAGUUUACUGCUAUUGCCCUCCUUUCUUCAUAACAACUAUUUAUUUUCAUCCCAGACAUUUUCUCACUUUACUAUUCACUCUUGGUUCAGGUGAAUUUGGUUUCUGCCCUCACCACUGUCUACAUGAUGGAAUAAGACCCUACUUAAGCCCAUAUAGUUCUCCCUGAAAAACUCUCCCACCAAGAUUUAAUCUAACUUGUCUUCCCAGAUUUCCCCAGUAUUUUUACUACUACUAUUUUCACAGGUAUCUCUGACAAGCCACCAUCUAUACACAACCACCAUCUACAGCCACAUUCAUUUUUAAAUUUUUUAAAUGUUUGUUUUUGAGAGAGACAGGGCACAAGUAGGGGAGGGGUGGAGUGAGAGAGGGAGACAGAAUCUGAAACAGGCUCCAGGCUCUGAGCUGUCAGCACAGAGCCCAAUGCAGGGCUCGAAAUCAGAAAUGGCAAAAUCAUGACCUACGCAGAAGUCAGAGGCUUAUCCAACUGAGCUACCCAGGCACCCCACACCACAUUGGUUUUAAAGGGAGAAGCUAACCCUGUCGGGUUUUCCAACGGAAGGUGAGACUAACAAAUGCGGGUAUUUGAAACUACUCUUCCCUUCUUGGUCCAAUGUACCUAAUCAAAGUCUUUAUUGUAUUUUAAGAGUCGGGCAUUAAGAGUUCAGUUUGACUGACCCAUCAUCAUUUGAUAGGAGGGUCUCAUUCCCCAUUGCCUUAAAUCUUCUAGGUAACAUACAUUCUCUCACACACUACCUAAAGAGUUAAACUAAUAUUUACCAAGCACUUAUCUUGUUCUUGGGAUGUCACUUAGUAAUACAUACGCAUUAUAUAAUUUAAUGUUAAUAAUAGUAUCAGAUAUCACUACAUAGAUUCUAUCAUGAUACUCAGUUUAAAAUGCAGAAUCUGAGAUUAUAUUAGGUUAGGUAAUUUGCCUAAGGUCACAGUAAACAGAAUACAAAUUUGACUCCAAAGUUAUUGUUCUUCACAAUGAAAACGUAGUAUCUUAGGA